GUGAGGAAUUUUCCGCAAUGGGCGAAAGCCUGACGGAGCAAUGCCGCGUGAAGGAUGAAGGCCUAUGGGUUGUAAACUUCUUUUCUCAGAAAAGAAUUAUGACGGUAUCUGAGGAAUAAGCAUCGGCUAACUCUGUGCCAGUAGCCGCGGUAAGACAGAGGAUGCAAGCGUUAUCCGGAAUGAUUGGGCGUAAAGCGUCUGUAGGUUGUUUAAAAAGUAUUCUGUCAAAGAUUAGGGCUUAACCCUAGAUAGGCAGAAUAAACUUUUAAGCUAGAGUUUGGUAGAGGCAGAGGGAAUUCCCGGUGGAGCGGUGAAAUGCGUAGAUAUCGGGAGGAACACCAAAGGCGAAGGCACUCUGCUGGGCCAAUACUAACACUGAGAGACGAAAGCGAGGGGAGCAAAUGGGAUUAGAUACCCGUGUAGUCC
rnacentral:rRNA from 1 species